GACGAACGCUGGCGGCGUGCUUAACACAUGCAAGUCGAACGGAAAGGCUCCAGCUCGCUGGAGUACUCGAGUGGCGAACGGGUGAUUAACAUGUGGGUGAUCUGCCCUGCACUUCGGGAUAAGCCUGGGAAACUGGGUCUAAUACCGGAUAGGACCGCACCGUGGUGUGUGCGGUGGAAAGGUUUUUGUGGUGUGGGAUGAGCUCGCGGCCUAUCAGUUUGUCGGUGGGGUAAUGGCGUACCAAGACGGCGGCGGGUAGCCGGAGUGAGUGGGUGGACGGGCACAGUGAGACUGAGAUUCGGCCCCGACUCCGACGGGUGGCAGCGGUGGGAAUUAGUGCUCAAUGGGGGAGACCCUGAUGCAGCGACGCCGCGGGGGGGAGGAAGGUCUUGGGGUUGUGAUCGCAUUGCGCUAGGGACCAAGCAUUUUGUGACGGUACCUGAAGAAGAAGCACCGGCUAACUACGUG
rnacentral:rRNA from 1 species